AAGAAAAAAAAAAACUCGAGUAUAAGCCGUAUAUACUCGAGUAUAAGCCGAGGGGCUUUAAAAAAAAAAAACUUGAGUAUAAGCCGUAUAGACCCGAGUAUAAGCCAUGGGGAAGUUUUUCAGCACAAAAAACGUGCUGAAAAACUCGGCUUAUACUCGAGUAUAUACGGUACUUACUUCCAAACUACCUUUUAACUAUUUUAACUAUUUGUAAAAUGAAUAGAAUUGCCAGAGAUAUAAUAGUUAAUGCUAUAUGUUCCAUCUAAUUCUUUUAUAUUUAUAAUUUUUAAACAAGCAUUCUUCGACACACUAUUUCUACCAUCACUUCAGUACAAAAUAAAGGUUAUUUUUAAGAAAAACAUUGAAAUGUAGCGGUAGGGGUUUGCAAAAUACUGCAAAUUCUAAAUGUGUGUAAUUCUAAAGCACGAGUGUCAAACUUGCUGCGUCAUGUUGCCGUUUCACAUUUUUUCCCAUUCGUGGAGCUGGGGUGGAUGUGGCCUGUGCAUGAUGCAUCCAGCCCGUUGGCUGCCAGUUUUGACACCUCUGUUCUAAAGACUACUAUUUGAAUUCAAAACAGUUAUUUUGAACAAGACUGGAUAGUCUUACAAAUCUGGAUAUGUUCUCAUUCUGAAAUAUCCCCCCUCUGACCUCAAAUCAUAUCUACUUCAAGAUUAGAAUAUUUCUGAAAUGGUUAGAAUAACCCAUUACAAACUUGAAACAACCACACAGCCCUAAUAAGCAGUUUUUUGGGUUGACCGUACAUAAACAUUAACAUCUAUUAAUGUCUCAACUAGAGAAACCAAUAUCUGGUUGGUAAUCAAUAAUAUACGGUAUGUUUUUUAUUGUUUAUAUACAAGAUUUUGUUUCUGUAUCCCUGUAAAAGAAAGAACAGUGAAUAUAAAAUCUAUUUUUUAAAAAAUUCUCAGCUAUUCCCAAAUUAUUUUACAGAAAUACAGUAUAGGAAACAAGCUUAAAUACUGCUUAAUAGAAAUCUUUGUGAACUAAUAUUUUAAAACAAAUUUGAAAAUUUAGGCCAAAGCUACCUGAUUUUUUUUAAAUGAUACUAUUUCCUUGUAUUUGGGGAAAUAAAUUUAAACUUAAUAAGUACUAUAAAUAUUAUAAACUAUAAUGAAUAAAUAACUUAAAUGGAUAUUGAAAACUUGCAUGUUACAAAUUAUGUUACAUAUUACACAUUACAUUAUUCAGUGCCAAUAACAUGUCUCUAUGUGCAAUUCGCAGACUUGAAGUAUUUUAGCAGAAGGUGAAACAGAGAUACUUUCUAUAGUUUACUUAAAACUUAAGAAUGGCUUUUGUUGUUUACAUAUUCUAAGAAAGUAGUUGUUUUUUGUUAUCUGCAUCUAGCUGACUUCUGCCCCAUCUCUAUUGGUUCACUUUGUAAACGAGAAUGUAAAAUGCACAGGGAGGAACAGAAAACAGUCAAUGAUGCUGCUGAGCAUGGUGCUGAAACAGAGUAAAUAGAACUGACUUUGAGUCAAGAAAUAUUAGCAGAAAUAGUCCAAAUUCUCUUUACAAAUCAUAUUGGGCUUCCCCUUACUAAAAUUCCUAAUGAAUGGCAAUGUUAAUGUGUACUACCAUAUUUGCAGAUAGGAUUGCACAGGAAAUUUAUAAGUAGACUGAUAAUUGUGCCUAGAUUUUUUCAUUCAUUUGAAAUUAAUUCAACAUAUAGAAUAAACAGUUAUACAAUUAACAAGAGUAAACGUAAGUUCAAAUGGUCUCAAGCUUUAUUAAAAUAAACACUAAUGUAUUUUAUAAAUCAACAACAAACAGGCUGUUUAUUUUGAAAAUUAUUAGGAAGUUGUAGUUUGGAAUGCAUGGGAGUCCAUGCCCAAGGACUUCUUUAAAGAAGAAGCAUCUUCCUUAUGAGCUUGAGAAAGUCACAGCUCCUUUAAUGGGUUGUAUGAAAAACUCACUGUACUGGUACUUCUGUAUUUCCCAAAGCAAUUUUACAAAAUCAUUUUCAAAACAUGAACAUAGAAGGCAAUAUGAUGCCCUCCAUAUAUUUUGGACUGGAACUCUGACAAGUCAUGGUUAGCACUGUCAAUAGACAGCUUUUUUGAAGAUGGUAUUACAAAACUCUAACCACAGAAAUCUUUGCUAACAUUUUGAAAAUAUUCUGUUAUAGAAGGAUUUACUUUCAAGAUAUUGCAGAUAGGCUAUGCUGCCUAUUCCAAUAUCCCACACAUGUUAUGUCAUGGGUUUUUUAUAUUUAAUCAACAUUAGGUUUUCCUUCUUAAUUUUCUGGAUACAGAAUUAAUUAAGUGAAAUCAGAAGCAGUUCAGUUCAUGAUUCUACAAUAUUGUUGAAGCCAAACAUGUCUAGGAAAUAUCUGAAUGGAAGAACAUUAAAGAAUCUUAGUUAACCUGCCUUAAACUCAAAACAAAGAUAUAUAAAUGAAAUAAGUUUCUUAUUUCAAAGGGACAUAACAGAGAAAAAUAAAGAAUAUUUGUUUCAAAUGUAAGUAUAAAUGAUAGCAGCUACAGAUCUGAAGACCUGUAAAAAAAUACAGGAAAAAAGAUGAAAAACUGAAAUGAAAAUUUUGCAGUGGAGAACAAUCUUAUUAUUCAAUAUUUUCUGUUUUACAAUGACUAAAUGGUUAAAAAUUGUUCAAAAUGCACAGGAUGAACAUUUGUAUAUACAAAGCAAUUUGCAAAGUUUGUGAAUAAUUUCACCUAAAUAUGGAUAUCAAUUUUCCAUGGCAUAUGAAGUUUAAUUUGAUGCACAAUGAAAUUUUUCUUUAAUACUGGCACUAUAUAAAAUGAUUCCUGUUUAGAAUAUUUAUAUUUAUUAUGAAUUUGGGGUUUUAUUAAGGAACCUUCUAUUCUUGCCAAGCUUGAAACUGAAUUAAAAGAUCUACAGAAAAAAAGUGGGUUUUUUUCUAAAAAUAAAAAUCUAUAAAUGGUUUUCUACUAGAUUUAGCCACAUUAUAUACCAUUAAAACAAAGUGAUCACAUAAAUUGCAUUAUAACCCUUAAAAAAAUCCAGCCAACUGAUUGGAUAUCACCCCUAUAGUACAUCUUGAAGGGCUGGGCAUUGAAAAAUUCUGAAAAACUUAAGACAAACAGUUCAAACUUGGAUUGUUUUUCUGAGUUAAUAUUCCUUGAUAAUCAGUUCAUUAAAUAUGUUUUAGGUUUCACGUAAGUUCUUUUAUUAACCCAACAAUUACAGUUUGAAAAUCAUAAUAUAUUUAUGAAUCUAGGGUUAAGCCAGAUACCAAUAAUCUGUAGCUGAACUAUUCAAUCCUAUAAAUGUACAUUUGAAUGUAAAAUCACAAAGGUUGAAUCUCAUUAAAUAUAAUUUUAGGCAUGUUUAGCCAGAAGUAAAAUCUAUUAAAUCUAAUAAUGCUUAUUCCAUAUAGGUGUAACCUAAAUGCAGGCAAAAAUAGAAUUAUAGUGCAAUCCUAUAGCUGUCUAUUCAAAAGUAAAUGUGAAGAGUAAAAUUUAAUGAAACUUUUUAGAUUACACUCUACAAUAUUCUAUGUAUGUAAUGUUGUUGUAAAUUUAUUCACACAUUUUAGGACAAUUAAUAUUAACCACAAAUGGUACCUAUACAAGCUCUCUGUACACUUGAAAGCAUCUAAAACAUACAUGAAGUCUUUUGUUUUCAAAGCAAAUAGAUUUACAUAAAAAUUAAAUGCUUAUCAUACUUCAUUUAUAACUGAUGUGUGUUUUAUGUUUAUAGUCUAACUAAUCCAAUUAAUAUUCUCUGAGAAGCAAUUUCCAUGGUGGCUUUCAAAGUGACUUACUCUGAAGUAGGUAUGUAUUAAUUAUCACCCCUUUAGUUUUUUUGUUUACUCAAAAGUAGGUCCAACAUGUUCAAUACAGCAUAACCAGUAAUUCAAUUUGAUGUCUGUAUUCUAUGACACUUAACCCAUAGUUAAGUGAACCAUGGUUUACUUACAUUUUCUUAAUUUAAGGUAAACUGAAUGAUGGGUUAAUCAUAGGAGCUGGGUUCAUAUAAAAAACAAUUAAUCACAGAAGCUGGGUACAUAUAACAAACCAAGCUAAAAAUCUGUGAUUUCACAUAUCAUCUAAACAGCCCACAUAUAAUUUCAUAAUUGUAGAAAUCUUCUUGCAAACUGAACUUAAAAAUGGUAGCACUACUAAAAGUUUUAACCAUAUCCGAGUUCCUCAUAAAACAAAUGUGGGGUUAUUUUCUCCUUUCACCACUCUCCCAAAAGGUACUUUCUUUUCAAAGUAUCAAAUCCAUUUGCUUCAUAAAGUAGCAUAAUAUCUGCACAAGGUAAAGCCAAGUAAACAAUACGAUAAGCUCAGGAAAUAGAUGGUCCUCUUUCUUAGCAACCUGCGUUUCUUCUACAUCUCUGCAUCAUUCCCACCCCCCCAAAUUAACCAAAAUAAAUGAAAUAGCCUCUCUUGUUAUGAACUCAGCAGUUUCGAUUGGUUGAAAUUAAGUCACUCCCCACCCCCCUUAAGGAGGCUAUUCCGCGUAUAUAGCAAAACUCCUAAAGAUACCCUUUGCUUAGGAGUUGUUGUGCAUGGGCUGCUUUCCCAGGCUAACGGAAGGAGAUGCAGACUUUUUCUCUCAUUAGGCCUCUUCCAUCAUCCGGAGUGUUGCCGUCUCCAUCUCCAUAUCCCAAACCCAACCUAAUAAUGGGAUGAUGAUGAAAUGUUUGCAGCAUUUACAAUGCCCACAGAUUCUCAGUGAGUUGGGAAACCACAACCAAGCAUGUCAUAUGGACCUGUGGAGGAACAGAUGCAGGAAAUGGAGCAGCUAUCCGCAACAUAUGUAUCAGAAGAAAUGGAAAUGCAAGAUAAAGACAGUGAACAGUUCUCUGCAGAAAUUCCAAUGCUUACUGUUUCACAACGAGUUCAAUAGAGUAUUGAACCACAACAGCUUUAUGCAAUGCAUGGGAAGUACAGGGACAGGAAAUUGAACCCUGGCCGUCCACAUCCCGUGUCAUACAAGAACCUGUUUGUAAAAAGUCAAAAAAGGGGAAUGAGGACUAACAGCCUACAGUCGUACACCCAGAUAUUACCAGUGAAGAGUGUGAUAUGUCAGAAACACAAUCAGUAGAGGAAUAAGAACACUCAGAAGUACACCAGAAGAACCUGAUGUCUACCUGGAGAGCAACUGAUCAUGGCAGAAGGAAGUGCAACACUACAGAGCUAUAGAGUACUGUGAACAUUACAGAUGUGUAAAUGUGGAACAUAUUCGAUCAUUCACACAAGCUAUACGUGUUAUUCAUACAGAACCUUUUGAACCAUAUUUCCAGCGAGAUAAGAUCAAGUGAUUUUGUGCAAUUGCGGUGGAUGCUGAGGAAUUAGGUAGGCCUCUCUUUAGUGUUAGGAGACCUCUGGAUGAACUAAAUGCUGAUCAGUUCCUUAGUUUUGUAGAGAGUUUAUUACAAAGCAAAUGUGGAGAUAUUAUGGAGGAACUCUUUAGAACUAACAGUCACUAUUGUGAAGAACCAUGAGGAGGGCGGGCUUAGGAAAUUAGGUACAGUUCUAUUCGGUAAGAUUUUGGAGAAGAAAAGACAACACCUGGUUGAUUUCUAUGUAGAGGGGAUAUUUCUGUGUUUUGCAGACAGCCUGUUGUCAUUGUUAGAUAAAAAAACAAGACAUUAUUACCAGAGCCAGGGACCUCCAUAACACUCUCGGGACCACAGAAUUGAUUUUUCACAUAUUUGAGGACCACUUUGGUAUAACUAUAAAGAUCAUGAAGGGGGUUGGAGGUUUUUUGUAACUGGAGGGACCCAACAAGAAAGAGUAGUGUUUAUGUUGCUACAUGACAGGCAUUACUAUAGGGUAAAAAAAUCAAAGGAUUCACGGGUGUACAUUAUUUCUGAGAACUAUGUCACACAGUGUAUCACAACAAAUUUAGACACUUGUCAAUACUUUUGUCGAGCCUGUUCGGGGUCAGAAUGUCGCGAAGUGGCUGGUGAGAGGGUGAUAUGCUGUAAGUUUUGCCGUUUUAAGGCAUGUCUUGAAAGACAUGAACGGUUGUCUGAGGAAGGAAAAAUUGUUUGUGAGGAUAAUGUACUUUGUCCAGGUGUGGCAUCUAUGUGCCUACACCACAUGAUGAAUGUAAGAAGUUGAAGUGUGGACAGUGUGAUACCAAGGUAGAUAGCUUGACAGGCCAUUUUUGUUUUCUAAAAAGGAUUUUUAAGCCAAAUGUCAGCUACAGGUACAUUGUGUAUGAUUUUGAAUGCUGUCAAGAAACAGGGACACCCAUACCAAACUAUGUCUAUGCCAUGGACAUGCUGGAUGAUGGUGCUUUUAGGAAAUGGUGAUAAGUGUCUGAAGGAAUUUGUGAAAACAUUUGUGCUGAAGGAUGGGUUCUUCUGCGAAGAGCUUUUUUAGGUUUUUGAACACUUGUUGGCAACCCAGAGACCAAGCCAGUGAUUGGUUCAGCUGUGUUUUCAGCAGUUCCAUCAGGGGCAGGGCUACCUCAGCAAAAGCUGGAAUUAAUUGUCUAAAAGUUUGCAAACCUCAGGAAGCUCUGGAGUUGCUUACAGGUGUGUGGGGGUUGCCAAUCCAGUACCGAUCUUACUUUUCCUGGGGUUCCCGGAAUUUUUGGCAGUUUUUUUCAUGGCUGCCCUAUAAGCUACAAGGCCCAUGACUUCAACAGAGUGCUUGAUUCAACCUAUGAUCAAGGAUUUAAAGGAUUAAAAAGCAGUGGGCCCUGGAAACACGGGUGCUCAGAAAAACUCUACAUGUUGUCUAUAAUAAAAGGGUGCUCAAAAUAGAGGAUUAUUGUAAGCUAUCUUACGGCUAUUAAAUAUGAUGAAAAGCAGUGUGCAAGUUUGUACAUCCUUUCUCUUGUAUUAUAAGCGGGCCUUCCAAUUUGGCAAAAUCUUAUUUUAUAAAACAAAUGUUUGA